rnacentral:rRNA from 1 species
CACGUAGGGCGCAAGCGUUGUCCGGAAUUAUUGGGCGUAAAGAGCUCGUAGGCGGUUUGUCGCGUCUGCUGUGAAAACUCGAGGCUCAACCUCGGGCUUGCAGUGGGUACGGGCAGACUAGAGUGUUGCAGGGGAGACUGGAAUUCCUGGUGUAGCGGUGAAAUGCGCAGAUAUCAGGAGGAACACCGAUGGCGAAGGCAGGUCUCUGGGCCGAUACUGACGCUGGAGGAGCGAAAGCGUGGGGAGCGAACAGG